AAAAAAUUGUAAUUGUAGUUAUUCAACAACUAAGAGAGGGAGAGGAGAAAGGGAGACUAGUUAGGUAGCGGCAAGACUUUGACGUAGAACGAUGCUAUCUCUUUGGCGGCAAGACUGGUUCGGCAACGGCGACGGCGACGAUCAACGGUUCGAAGGGAAAGGGUUUCGUUCUUCUCUUCUGUUCACUUUGAUCUGGAAAAAAUCUCAGUCCGAUUAUUGAGGGUCAAUCUUCGAAGCUGAUACACAACUAGAAUAGCUAACAAUCUUUGUAUUUAAAGAGAAACAAAUGGUCACUUGAUCGAAGACUUUGUUGCUGAUGAUGCUGCUGCUUUUAGGUUUAUCAGUUUGAGGAAUGUUAAGAUGGAGAUUUAAUUUUAGGUUGGGGUUUAUUUUGUUUUCUUGUAAUGUUUAUGCUGUUUGUCAAUUUGUGUCUUGGCCAAUCAUGUUUUCUUCCUUUUGGAUUGAAUGCUUAAUACAAGUGUUCUUUUCACCUUAAUUUUGUAAAAUGUUAUUAUUACCUUAUUGCUGGGGGGAAAAAAAUCAUGAUAAUUGCCAUGGGCACGGCUCAUCGUGCAACGCAUGACACCCCAUCACUAGUAUAGAAAUAAGAUUGUGUUUUGAUA